CAGGAUAUCCCACAACAGAUUGGGGGUGUUGACUGUGGAGACUUCAUGUUGAUGUAUGCUCUACAUCUUUUCAUGGGAGCACCCUUUGAUUUUACAUCUUGCGACUUUCCAAACAUUCGGAGGUGUAGUCUAAUUCUUCUAGAAAACUUU